UGUUUUUUCGCAUUCUAAGGGGAUACCAGUCAGAAAGGUUUUAAGGCUGUCUAUGAAAUCCGCAAAGGUGGUGACUUGUAAUUCACAGUCAGAUUCCUGAAGGGAAUGAAAAAAAAAAAACAACAGCACUUGAGUCCAGGGCUUCUUUGCUGUCUCCCCAGAACCUAGAAACUAUGCCAAGCCCAUACAGUCAGACUGCUACAUCCCAGUAAGGGUGCUGCCAAGUCCCUCAUGGUCCCCUUGGGAAGCAUCAGCCCCCACGGUCCUGGAUGCAGAGCUGCGGACUCAGACCAGUCGUCUCCAGACCUGGCCGCUGUGCUUCAAAACUACUUUCGUUCUUUGUGCCCGACCUUCAUCUUCAUGACCGGAUGGAGACCUCUGCAGGUCACUGCGGAGAUGCCUGGAGACACCUAGAGGUGCUUCUUAAAUAUUAGCCAAGAGCUAAGUGUAUGAAGAUUUUCUGCUUGGGUUUUCAGUUUGGACUCGUUGGGAGGCCUCCAUUCCAGCCUCAGUUUCCCAAACGGUCAAAGAAAAA
rnacentral:lncRNA from 1 species